rnacentral:rRNA from 1 species
GACGAACGCUGGCGGCGUGCCUAAUACAUGCAAGUAGAACGCAGUUGCGAACGGGUGAGUAACGCGUAGGUAACUGCCUGGUAGCGGGGGAUGACUAUUGGAAGCGAUAGCUAAUACCGCAUACUACCAGGUGGACCUGCGUUGUAUUAGCUAGUUGGUGGGGUAACGGCCCACGAAGGCAACGAUACAUAGCCGACCUGAGAGGGUGGUCGGCCAACCUGGGACUGAGACACGGCCCAGAAUCCCACGGGAGGCAGCAGUAGGGAAUCUUCGGCAAUGGACGGAAGUCUGACCGAGCAACUCCGCGUGAGUGAAGAAGGUUUUCGGAUCGUAAAGCUCUGUUGUAAGAGAAGCGGUAUCUUACCAGAAAGCGACGGCUAACUACGUGCCAGCAGCCGCGGUAAUUC